GACGAACGCUGGCGGCGUGCUUAACACAUGCAAGUCGAACGCUGAAGCUCAGCUUGCUGGGUGGAUGAGUGGCGAACGGGUGAGUAACACGUGAGUAACCUGCCCUCUUCUUUGGGAUAACGCCCGGAAACGGGUGCUAAUACUGGAUAUUCACUGAUUUUCGCAUGGGGGUUGGUGGAAAGGUUUUUUCUGGUGGGGGAUGGGCUCGCGGACUAUCAGCUUGUUGGCGGGGUGAUGGCCUACCAAGGUUUUGACGGGUCGCAGGCGGGGGAGGGUGACCGGGCACAUUGGACCUGAGAUACGGCCCAGACUCCGACGGGAGGCAGCAGUGGGGAAUAAUGCACGAUGGGCGAAAGCCUGAUGCAGCGACGCCGCGUGAGGGAUUGAGGCCUGCGGGUUGUAGACCUCUGUCGCUCAUGGUCAUGCCGCAGCUUUGGGUUGUGGUGAGGGUAGUGGGUAAAAAAGCGCCGGCUAACUACGUG
rnacentral:rRNA from 1 species